ACAGUUAAGCUAUAGUUUGGUUCACUGUUUUCUUCAUGUCUGAUUUAUCAAAUCAUCAUUCGACGAAAGGGGCUAAGAAUAACCCAUUCAACGACAGAUGUAAUAGCAAAAUUUUUCCCCAGACAAUUUUACCCUGUAUUUCUUCACCCAUUUACCGUCAAUUCUGUCGUUGUUGUAAAAGUGGUGCCUCCUUCGAUUCUGUCAUUGAGAAUCGUAGAUUCAUCUCCGACUCGUUCUCCGCCUCCGCAAAGCUGCCUCCUUUCCUUUGAAAUAUCAGUGAAAGGGCUUGAACUACUAAACAAAUACAUUGGUGCUUCUGAGCAAACUGUUCAAGAGAUUUUCUAACUUUUUUGAUUAAUUUGAUUCCAUUACCCCUAAAAGAUGACAUGACUACACUAGAGUAACUGAUCGAGUUGUCAACCAAGUUAGUAUCUUUUUGCUUGCUACAUUUUAUUAUUUUGCCUUAACUUUUUAUGUCUUUCUCAUUGUUAUUUUGCUUUCAAACAAUUCCUAACUUAAUUAGAUGGUUUUGAAGUUUUGACUGGUGUAUUUGUGUUUGUUGCAACAAGGUUAGUUCUCAUGGAAUCCUAUUGUAUUAUUUUGAUAGUAUCUAUCCUUAAUCUUCGGUUAAUCCCCACAAUGUUGAGUUUGGUUCGUUAUUAUCUUCACGUGAUCAAUUUUGAAAUGAGAUGCAUACCCAAAUAAGAUAGCUUUUCAAGUAGCACAAAAUUUUUAAAAGAUAAUACGCUUCUUGAUUUCAAGGUUUUCCAUAAAUAUAUGAAUUUAUUAUUUCAUGGUUUUCCUUAUGAGUUGCAUGGCUUUAAUAAAAAUUGACUUAAAUUCUUCUCAUAAGCAGUAGACUAGAUCUGCUUGAUGCUGCAUUGCUGAGACCAGGUAGGCUUGAUCGCCUCCUUUUCUGUGAUUUUCCAUCUCCGCGUGAAAGGUUGGAUAUUCUGACCUUUCUUUCAAGAAAGGUUAGUGAUAUUGUUUUUAUGCAUCAAUUUUCUACGCUCUCUUUUUUUUUUUUUGUUUCAUCAUAGAAACCGAAGGUAUAAAACUCUUCUUCAAGUCUUGCUUCCUAGAAUUACAUGAUUUUAACCACAUGUAUCAGCUUUGUUACCAGGAUUAAGUGGUCAGUGUUGGAUUUUGAUGUACA